AUGUACCGCUAUGGUGAUUUUGUUCCUGUUGUUCAAAGCACAGCCAUAAGAUGCGCAAGGAAAAGCAAGUUGCUUGAACCAUGGGGUAGAAGUGUUUUGGGGAAGCAGCACCUCGCAGGAGGGCUAGGGCAGCUGCCACCAGCCCUGAGAGGGGUUCGCUCAGCUGUGCGGCCUGACCAGGUAAUGAAGCACUUUGGAGACAAGGAGUAUGUGCUCUGCAAGGCAAGAGAAAGAGCUGUUUUCCAGUGGCCUCCCAGGCCAGGAGUUGCACAGCUUUUGGACGCGUGCUGGCCUUGUGCAGCCCGCCAGGGAGAUGGGCUGCGCAAAGCCUCCUGAUGGUCUGGUGGAGAAGAACAGCUACAGGAGAGGAGCAGGCUUGGAAUGACUGCUGAUUGCGACAGGUGAAAGUCAUGAAUACAGAGGGACUCGGAGGAAAAUUGCCUUGCAAUCUGCCAUCCACCCUGGAAGCCAGGAGGGAGAUGGUGCUGUGCCAGCAUGCCCUCCGUGCGUACUACUUAAAGGCAGAGAGAAGCUGGACUCUCCCAAGGCUCAGUGCUGAGCUUUAGCACGUUUCAAAACCCAGCUCUUUAAGCAAACGAGCGAGCAUCCUGGAGGCAGCACCGGGUCCACAGCAGGGGCUGGGCAGCAGGAGACCAUCACCUGGCAGUCAGCAGGUUGAGGCAGCGCUGGAGAGAGCCGCUUGGCAAGGGCAGGUGGACCAGACAGCAGGGCAGUGGCACCAUGUGCUGCGCGGCUUGGCAUUAAUGAGACAUCUAUUGGAAUUCUGCAUGUUCCUUAAAGGCCUUCUGGGCGGAAAAUCGUUACGUUUACCCUGAUCCUUCACAAGUGAAAAACCAAACCGGGAUCUUCCCUGCUGGACUGAUUUGUGGGCUUCCUAGGAGGCCUUUGGAGCUGUGCAAGUCACGUUGCUUUCAGGAUGGAGGUGCUGAGAGAUAGACAGCUACUGCAAGCGAUGCCCAAACCGGAGAGCCUUGUGCACGGAGGGGGUAGGGUUCAUCAUGAAGGGCUGUUACUUGACUUGACAGUCAGGGCUGGAUUUUUCCAAGCACUCUCCCUCUAUGUGUGCACACUUAAAAGCACUGUCACUGCACAUGCAGGAGAGAGCUAAUGUGCCAGGGACAGAAGCACACAAUGGAGAGCACCUCUUAGAAAUUUGGCCCCCAAAACUAGGCUUUUAUUUUUAAGCAGCUUAAGUAUCCAGUGUGCUGAGCUCUUCCCAUAAGGCUGGUAGGAUUAGCAGUGAAGGGGUAGGCUGUGAGCCAUUCAGGCUGUGUUUAAACGUGCUUUUGCUUAGACCACCUGAAAGCUCUCGGAUUCCUUGGUGGCAGUAGCAUGCAGGCUGUGGAAGGAGGC
rnacentral:lncRNA from 1 species